AUUAAAGUGGCAGAAUAGUGCGACAGAGUUAAGUUUUGUUAAUGGAUGUUAGAUCCCUUUAAUU
rnacentral:tRNA from 1 species